rnacentral:rRNA from 1 species
GAGUUUGAUCCUGGCUCAGGACGAACGCUGGCGGCGUGCUUAACACAUGCAAGUCGAACGGAAAGGCCCCGCUCGCGGGGUACUCGAGUGGCGAACGGGUGAGUAACACGUGGGUGAUCUGCCCUGCACUUCGGGAUAAGCCUGGGAAACUGGGUCUAAUACCGGAUAUGACCUCCCUUUAGUGUGGGGGGUGGAAAGAUUUAUCGGUGCAGGAUGAGCCCGCGGCCUAUCAGCUUGUUGGUGGGGUAAUGGCCUACCAAGGCGUCGACGGGUAGCCGGCCUGAGAGGGUGGACGGCCACAUUGGGACUGAGAUACGGCCCAGACUCCUACGGGAGGCAGCAGUGGGGAAUAUUGCACAAUGGGCGGAAGCCUGAUGCAGCGACGCCGCGUGGGGGAUGACGGCCUUCGGGUUGUAAACCUCUUUCGACAGGGACGAAGUGAAAAUGACGGUACCUGUAUAAGAAGCACCGGCUAACUACGUGCCAGCAGCCGCGGUAAUACGUGGGGUGCGAGCGUUGUCCGGAAUUACUGGGCGUAAAGAGCUCGUAGGUGGUUUGUCACGUCGUCUGUGAAAUUCCGGGGCUUAACCUCGGGCGUGCAGGCGAUACGGGCAAUACUUGAGUGCUGUAGGGGAGACUGGAAUUCCUGGUGUAGCGGUGAAAUGCGCAGAUAUCAGGAGGAACACCAAUGGCGAAGGCAGGUCUCUGGGCAGUUACUGACGCUGAGGAGCGAAAGCAUGGGUAGCGAACAGGAUUAGAUACCCUGGUAGUCCAUGCCGUAAACGGUGGGCGCUAGGUGUAGGGGACUUCCACGUUCUCUGUGCCGUAGCUAACGCAUUAAGCGCCCCGCCUGGGGAGUACGGCCGCAAGGCUAAACUCAAAGGAAUUGACGGGGGCCCGCACAAGCGGCGGAGCAUGUGGAUUAAUUCGAUGCAACGCGAAGAACCUUACCUGGGCUUGACAUACACCGGACCGGCGUAGAGAUACGUCUUCCCUUGUGGCCGGUGUACAGGUGGUGCAUGGUUGUCGUCAGCUCGUGUCGUGAGAUGUUGGGUUAAGUCCCGCAACGAGCGCAACCCUUGUCUUAUGUUGCCAGCACGUGAUGGUGGGGACUCAUGAGAGACUGCCGGGGUCAACUCGGAGGAAGGUGGGGAUGACGUCAAAUCAUCAUGCCCCUUAUGUCCAGGGCUUCACACAUGCUACAAUGGUCGGUACAGCAGGUCGCGAACUCGUGAGAGUAAGCCAAUCCUUCAAAGCCGGCCUCAGUUCGGAUUGGGGUCUGCAACUCGACCCCAUGAAGUCGGAGUCGCUAGUAAUCGCAGAUCAGCAACGCUGCGGUGAAUACGUUCCCGGGCCUGUACACAC